UCACUCCAAAACCAGCAUCUUGAGAUUUUACACAAAGCGGAAAGAGGGGGUCGUGGACUAGUGACACCAUGACACCCACCAGGAGGUAACAUCAAGAUGAUGGCCUUUUUAGCCCAGUAAGGAGAAGGUCGUUGUUGUCCACUUGAGCGACCGUUACGAGAGAUUAAUCGCUUCUUCCCACGGGCGCCGCAGAGGAGCGAGUCCUAUGGCAAAUUAAACGUUGAUGCGGCCUCAUUCAGGCUGAUUUUAUUUUGACAUAAAUCAGGAUGUGCGGCCACAGGAGUUUUUAUUGAUGUUAUCUUGACCUAGAGCUAACAACGCAUUAUUGAGAGUUCAACUUGUCGGUGGGGUCAUUCUGGGUGAUGGAGUACAAAACUCUUUGUUGUGUGUGAAGGCACAUCAGUUAAGGUCACGGCCGUGCACGUUACGCAUGCCUCACCAGACUUGUCCCAGGACAAUGGAAGCGCCACUUGGGACGCGAAAGCGACUGAAAACAUCCUGGACGGUCAAGUCCGAUGGUCAUUUAUUGCCUUGCUAUUUGGACAAAAAUGCUUUAAGAAGUGCAAAUCCACAUUUUUUUUGAAUGGCAACGUCGCUCUUUUUGUAGAGAACACACAAGCAAACAAAGCACAACAAGUUAUAUCCACCGUGUUCCAAAUUUGAGCGAAAUACUGCUGUCAUCGCCCCGGACGACUCGGGGGAAAUGAACCAAAAAACGCCCUCGCUUCAGAAUUUGGAACA